rnacentral:tRNA from 1 species
GCCGGGGUGGGGUAGCAUGGUUUAUCCUAUGGGACUGUGGAUCCCAUGACUCGGGUUCAAAUCUCGGCCCCGGCCCC